AACGAACGCUGGCGGCAUGCCUAACACAUGCAAGUCGAACGAGACCUUCGGGUCUAGUGGCGCACGGGUGCGUAACGCGUGGGAACCUGCCCUUAGGUUCGGAAUAACUCCCCGAAAGGGGUGCUAACACCGGAUAAUGUCUUCGGACCAAAGAUUUAUCGCCUUUGGAUGGGCCCGCGUUGGAUUAGCUAGUUGGUAGGGUAAAAGCCUACCAAGGCGACGAUCCAUAGCUGGUCUGAGAGGAUGAUCAGCCACACUGGGACUGAGACACGGCCCAGACUCCUACGGGAGGCAGCAGUGGGGAAUAUUGGACAAUGGGCGAAAGCCUGAUCCAGCAAUGCCGCGUGAGUGAUGAGGGCCUUAGGGUUGUAAAGCUCUUUUACCCGGGAUGAUAAUGACAGUACCGGGAGAAUAAGCUCCGGCUAACUCCGUG
rnacentral:rRNA from 1 species